rnacentral:lncRNA from 1 species
UGGGGUUUUUUUUGGGGGGGAGAUUUUGGGGUUUUUUUGGGGUUUUUGGGGUUUUUUUGGGGAGGUUUUGGGGUUUUUUUGGGGAAGUUUUGGGGGUUUUUUUGGUUGGUUUUGGGGGUGUUUUGUAGGGUGGGAUUUUUGGGGGAGGUUUGGGGUGUUUUUACGGUGUUUUCUGGGGGUUUUAGGGGUGUUUUUGCCGUGUUUUUUUUUUGUGUUUUCUGCCUGUUUUGGGCUGUUUCUCUGCCUGUUUUUCUGCCUGUUCUGGGGUGUUUUUGUGGCUGUUUUGGGCUGGUUUUCUGCCUGUUUUUGUGGUGUUUUUCUGCCUGUUUUUCUGCCUGUUUUUCUGCCUGUUUUUCUGCCUGUUUUUCUGCCUGUUUCUGGGCUGUUCUUCUGUGUGUUUUUCUGCCUGUUUCCUGUGUGUUUUCUGUCUGUUUUUGGGCUGUUUUUGUGGCUGUUUUUCUGCCUGUUUCCUGUGUGUUUUCUGCCUGUUUUCUGUGUGUUUUCUGCCUGUUUUCUGUGUGUUUUCUGCCUGUUUCCUGUGUGUUUUCUGCCU